rnacentral:rRNA from 1 species
GAUGAACGCUGGCGGUGUGCCUAAUACAUGCAAGUCGAGCGAACAGACGAGGAGCUUACUCCUCUGACGUUAGCGGCGGACGGGUGAGUAACACGUGGAUAACCUACCUAUAAGACUGGGAUAACUUCGGGAAACCGGAGCUAAUACCGGAUAACAUGUUGAACCGCAUGGUUCAACAGUGAAAGACGGUCUUGCUGUCACUUAUAGAUGGAUCCUCGUCGCAUUAGCUAGUUGGUAAGGUAACGGCUUACCAAGGCAACGAUGCGUAGCCGACCUGAGAGGGUGAUCGGCCACACUGGAACUGAGACACGGUCCAGACUCCUACGGGAGGCAGCAGUAGGGAAUCUUCCGCAAUGGGCGAAAGCCUGACGGAGCAACGCCGCGUGAGUGAAGAAGGUCUUCGGAUCGUAAAACUCUGUUAUUAGGGAAGAACAAAUGUGUAAGUAACUAUGCACGUCUUGACGGUACCUAAUCAGAAAGCCACGGCUAACUACGUG